rnacentral:rRNA from 1 species
UCGGGAAUUUUGGGCAAUGGGGGAAACCCUGACCCAGCAACGCCGCGUGAAGGAUGAAGUAUUUCGGUAUGUAAACUUCGAAAGAAUAGGAAGAAUAAAUGACGGUACUAUUUAUAAGGUCCGGCUAACUACGUGCCAGCAGCCGCGGUAAUACGUAGGGACCAAGCGUUGUUCGGAUUUACUGGGCGUAAAGGGCGCGUAGGCGGCAUGACAAGUCACUUGUGAAAUCUCUGGGCUUAACCCAGAACGGCCAAGUGAUACUGUCGCGCUAGAGUGCAGAAGGGGCAAUCGGAAUUCUUGGUGUAGCGGUGAAAUGCGUAGAUAUCAAGAGGAACACCUGAGGUGAAGACGGGUUGCUGGGCUGAUACUGACGCUGAGGCGCGAAAGCUAGGGUAGCAAACGGGAUUAGAUACCCUGGUAGUCCCUGAGCGGGCUGGCAAGGCGCAU